AAUUCUCAACUAUACAAGUUUUUAUAACCUGUAUGGCUUGGAUCUUGGGAUUUGCGGGCUCUCACGAGUCGGCUUUCCUCAAAUGCAUUAGCAGAGCUUUUGCCGCUAACCUCUAGUGUGAUAAUUAUCUACGCUUUUGAGUUGCGACAUGUCGAGGCUUAGCUUCUAAUCGUCCGCAAGGACAAUACUUGACA
rnacentral:misc_RNA from 2 species